rnacentral:lncRNA from 1 species
UCCAGGCCAACUGGCUGCUUCCUUGCUCGGCUCCCGCCCUGGCUCCCGCCGGCGGCCCCAGGCAAAGAGCCACCACUCACUGAGCUGCUCAUUGUAUGCGCCCCGGGCGGGCAGCGCAGAGCAGCACAGAAGCGCAGCCGGCAGCGCAGGCUCGAGGAACCUCCAGGUACCUCCCACGGGUUUGUGAGCAACACAAGCCAGCUCUCCCAGCCCUAGACAGCAGCUCUAGCCAGAGGCAUGCGGCUACCCCGCUUCUCCAGCACUGUAGUGCUUUCGCUCCUGAUAGUGCAGACCGGCAUCCUGGUCUUCCUGGUCUCCCGGCAAAUGCCAUCAUCCCCAGCAGGCCGUGGGGAGCAUGUGCAUGUGCUGG